AUAUGACUCAUUCAGUGUGAGAGGGGAUGCCACAAAAUCCCAUAAAGAAGACACUAUGAGAAAUCUUAAGAUAGCACUUCAAAACUCAGAAAACCCACAAACCUCUACUUUCAUUCAUCUAAAAUGUCCUCUAUUGGAAGUUCACAAUCAUACAAUUGGAGCAGGAUCCUGUUUUUCAAGACCGAUUCAUCCAAAACUAAAAAAUCAAAUUCAGGUGAUGGUCGGACAAGGGAUAACUAAUAUAGCUUUCGUGAAGAGAGCCUUGAAGCAGUAUGUGCUAAAUGACUUGUGUGGCGAGGAUCUCCAGCGGCCGCACAACAACGAUGAAGCAUAUUUUCCAUCGAACACAACUAUCCAGAAUCACAAUCACAUGGCAUUAGUGGCUGGUCGUUACUCUGCGCUGGAUCAGGAGAAUCUUGCAAAGGAAGUGGCAGAAUGGAAGGUUGAAGAUGAGGGCAAUCGUUUCUUCUUUAGAAAAUGCACAAAUGGAGGAGAUGAAGAUCUAGAGCAUCAGUUUCUUUUCAUACAUCAGCACCACAAACAAAUACGGCUCCUGCAGCGAUAUGGGGAAAUGGUUCUUUUGGAUGCCACAUACAAAACCUCAAAAUAUUCCAUGCCACUGUUUUUUUUGGUUGUUCGAACCAAUGUUGGCUACAAACCUCUAGCAGAGUUUGUAUGUGAGAGUGAAACUACAAAGUCCAUUGCAGAAGCACUGGACAUCUUGAAGACAUGGAAUCCUCAGUGGACUCCAAAGUACUUCAUGACAGAUUACAGUGAGCAAGAGAUCCAGGCCCUCGCCCAAGUGUUCCCCACUGCAGUAACACACCUAUGUGCAUUCCACAGAGAGCAGGCCUGGCUACGCUGGACUAAAGAUGAAAUGGUGCAGAGCCUAUGCGCCAGAGGCAUUUUAUGUGUCAGUCACCACCAACAAUGGAGUUGAAACCAUGAAUAAAAAUCUGAAGGCAUUCUACCUGAAAAUCUCAGGUACUGGGACUCUCUCUUCUCUACUGGGAACAGUUGUUGAAUUUAUUCCUGACAAAAUGAAAGGCUACGAGCGGCUGAAUUACAAUCAAUCCACAAGCCACAAGAGCUACAAUGAGGAUGUACCAGAGCACCUCAAAAACCGACCAAGAGAUGUGGUCCUCCACUGCUUGAGAAGCAUCAGUUCUGCUUCCCAUUUCACUGCUCAAGAUGUUGUGGAUAAAGGUGAUGGUACAUGCCUAGUCAGAAGUGAGCAAUCUCCCCUCUUUUACUCCGUCAACCUUAGAGGGCCGUUGUGUGAGUGUGGUGCAUUUCAAGAUUCUUACCUACCAUGCAAGCACAUGAUUGCCAUU
rnacentral:lncRNA from 1 species